UACGAAGGGUGCAAACGUUGCUCGGAAUUAUUGGGCGUAAAGCGCACGUAGGCGGCUUUGCAAGUCCGAUGUGAAAGCCCACGGCUCAACCGUGGAAGUGCAUCGGAAACUGCAGAGCUUGAGUACAAAAGAGGAUCGCGGAAUUCCCGGUGUAGAGGUGAAAUUCGUAGAUAUCGGGAGGAACACCAGUGGCGAAGGCGGCGAUCUGGGUUGAUACUGACGCUGAGGUGCGAAAGCGUGGGGAGCGAACGGG
rnacentral:rRNA from 1 species